AAAAACAGUUCGUGUGAGUUAUGUCAAAUAAUUACUGAAGAUUCAAUAAGGUAGGACAAAUUAUUCUAUAUGUGUUUCACUUAGAAAUGCAGAAUUAAACAAAAUUAAAAGUUGUAUUCACCAAAAUUUUUUGUCAUUAGUUUAUCCUUCACAAGUUAAGUAAAAUAUUUAGACAACGUAAGAUUUUCUUUAAAGUGAAAGGUUUAAGGUUUCGACUAUCCGUUUGUUUCAUAACAGUGAGCUCUUAAACCGUUUUUGAAUACACAGAAAAACUUUCGGCAUAUCAAAUUUUACUUCAUAAUAGUUUGCUCUGGAGUAUGAAAUAAUGGAAGUAAUUUAACAACAUUGGGUUGAGCCUUAGUCUUCUUGUUAUGCCUGUGUUAAAUUAUUACAUCUUUCUUAAAAUUUGGUACAUUAAAAUACUUUUGUUAUUAAAAAAUCACUUUCUUGUUGUAGAUAACAAAUACACUUAGUCAGACAUGAUUGACUGACUGAAUACCAAAGAAGAAUGAAAUUGAUGAACUGGUGUUGCUCCAUCGUGAUAUUUGUUUCGUGUUUAUUCGGCAUCGUAAAUUGUAAAUAUAUACGUUUCCAGGGGAAUUAUGAGUACAGUUAUCAAUACAUCUCUGAUUCAACAAUACAUGGUUUGGGAAACUUCAAGACAGAUGCAAAGGUUUGUU
rnacentral:lncRNA from 1 species